rnacentral:rRNA from 1 species
UACAGAGGGGGCAAGCGUUAUUCGGAAUUAUUGGGCGUAAAGGGCGCGUAGGCGGCCUGGCAAGUGACGGGUGAAAGCCCUCGGCUUAACCGAGGAACUGCCUGUCAGACUGUUAGGCUUGAGACCGGGAGAGGUGAGUGGAAUUCCCAGUGUAGCGGUGAAAUGCGUAGAUAUUGGGAGGAACACCAGUGGCGAAGGCGGCUCACUGGACCGGUACUGACGCUGAGGCGCGAAAGUGUGGGGAGCGAACAGG